GUGAAUCAUCGAAUCUUUGAACGCAAAUUGCGCUUCCUGGUAUCCCGGGAAGUAUGCCUGUUUGAGGGUCAGUAUUAACAAAAAAUCGGUUUAGUUGCAAAUUGUGACGUUUCCGGAGUUUGGGCUUAUCUUAACUUUUUUGGUUAAGGGGCUUAAAAUUGACCUUUUUUGCGCAUUUUUAGACGUACAUAAAUUUUUUUUUAUUGACUAAUUUUAAUUGCAAAAAUCUUUUUGGUGGC
rnacentral:misc_RNA from 1 species